rnacentral:rRNA from 1 species
AUUGAACGCUGGCGGCAUGCUUUACACAUGCAAGUCGAACGGUAACAGCACUUCGGUGGCUGACGAGUGGCGCACGGGUGAGUAAUACAUCGGAACGUGCCUAGUAGUGGGGGAUAACUACUCGAAAGAGUAGCUAAUACCGCAUGAGAUCUAAGGAUGAAAGCAGGGGACCUUCGGGCCUUGCGCUACUAGAGCGGCUGAUGGCAGAUUAGGUAGUUGGUAGGAUAAAAGCUUACCAAGCCGACGAUCUGUAGCUGGUCUGAGAGGACGACCAGCCACACUGGGACUGAGACACGGCCCAGACUCCUACGGGAGGCAGCAGUGGGGAAUUUUGGACAAUGGGCGCAAGCCUGAUCCAGCAAUGCCGCGUGCAGGAUGAAGGCCUUCGGGUUGUAAACUGCUUUUGUACGGAACGAAAAGCCCUCUUCUAAUACAGGAGGGUCAUGACGGUACCGUAAGAAUAAGCACCGGCUAACUACGUG